rnacentral:ncRNA from 1 species
UGAAUUGCCUUGAAUAGGAAGAGUAGAAUCCGAACCUUUCAGAGAGAGAGAUCAGUAGCUGAGAGAUUUCUUAAGAUGUACGAUUUGAAUGUCGCCUAGGAGCAGCUGUUUUGAGAUGUCUAAUGACAUGUAAGAAUAGCCGGACACUGACCGUUAUCAGUUUGAGUGUGUAGUACAGAUUUCUGUGCUGCAAACAAAGGUGGUACCGCGAGUAACUCUCUUCGUCCUUUGG